CCCGCUCAGAAACUCAAAGGAAUUGACGGGGCCCGCACAAGCGGUGGAGCAUGUGGUUUAAUUCGAUGAUACGCGAGGAACCUUACCUGGGCUCAAAUGUAUGUUGACGUAUUCUGAAAGGGAUACUUCUUCGGACAAUAUACAAGGUGCUGCAUGGUUGUCGUCAGCUCGUGCCGUGAGGUGUCGGGUUAAGUCCCAUAACGAGCGCAACCCCUAUCAUUAGUUGCCAUCAGGUCAAGCUGGGGACUCUAAUGAAACUGCCUACGCAAGUAGUGAGGAAGGUGGGGAUGACGUCAAAUCAGCACGGCCCUUACGUCCAGGGCUACACACGUGCUACAAUGGCCGGUACAAAGGGCAGCUACCUGGUGACAGGAUGCUAAUCUCAAAAGCCGGUCUCAGUUCGGAUCGGAGUCUGCAACCCGACUCCGUGAAGCUGGAUUCGCUAGUAAUCGCGCAUCAGCCACGGCGCGGUGAAUACGUUCCCGGGCCUU
rnacentral:rRNA from 1 species